UACGUAGGGUGCAAGCGUUGUCCGGAAUUAUUGGGCGUAAAGAGCUCGUAGGCGGUCUGUCGCGUCGGCUGUGAAAACUCGGGGCUCAACUCCGAGCCUGCAGUCGAUACGGGCAGACUAGAGUUCGGUAGGGGAGACUGGAAUUCCUGGUGUAGCGGUGAAAUGCGCAGAUAUCAGGAGGAACACCGGUGGCGAAGGCGGGUCUCUGGGCCGAUACUGACGCUGAGGUGCGAAAGCGUGGGGAGCAAACAGG
rnacentral:rRNA from 1 species